rnacentral:misc_RNA from 1 species
AAACUAUUGGGGAAGUAGAAUCUCUCUCCCUAUCAUUCUUUUAAUGUUUAUAAAUACCAAGAAACCCCGUCCAGUAGCCAUACGCUGUACCAACAUGGCGUUUCUUUCCGCAAUACUCCCCAUAUUGAUGGGACUGACCAUUGCAAUGGCCACAGAUGGGUCCGAGUGCCCUGGGGAAGGGAGAUUUCCAGAUCCUAAUACAUGUGGAGGAUUCAUGGACUGCAUAGCCAAAAAGACUGGUGGCUUCACUGUAACAAGGGAUCGCUGCAAUGGAUUUGUGUACAACGCUACAUCAAUGACUUGUUCAAAAACCCCGUGUGGUUCGCGUCAUGAACGAAGUGUUACAAAUGACUUCCAUCCCUUGUCACAUCUGUGUGAAAGUCAACCUAACCGGUUCUUGUGUGCAAACUGCAGGACUCUGGUUCACUGUGUAAUGGGCCAAGCCUUGGUUCGUCAGUGCACAGAAGAUUUCUACUGUACAGAUAAGCUUGGCUUUGGAGGUGCUGUAUGCUACCCUAAUGAACCAGCAGAGUGCAUGUGUUUGAGGCCAAAUGAAUUUCGUGUGGAUCCCUAUGACCCACAGAGGUUCUUCUCGUGUGAGAAUGCUGGCUCCCAGCCAGAAACCUACAAGUGUCCAGAAGGUAAGGAGUUUGAUGAAAACUCUGCCCAGUGUGUAAACCAGAUUGGCUUCCCAGAAUGUGUUAAAUCUGGAACCUUUGCCAACACCCAAAACUGUGGUGAAUACUACUCGUGCAUUCCCUUGAGACAUGGUUGGCUGCAGAAGUUCUACAUGUGCAGUGGUAACCACUUGUUCAAUGAGAGAACCAAGACCUGUGAAGAUCCCUGCACCUUGAAAUUCGUGUGCCAACAGGAGGGAAGAUUUCCAGACCCCCUUAACAUGCAGCAUUACUUUGAAUGCUUCGUGGAAGCUGGCCAAAUGAUACAGCUGCGAUAUCAGUGUCCCAAUGGAUACAUGUGGAAUGAAAUAAGCUUUGGGACAGGAAAGUGUGUAGAAGCAACGGAGGAGUAUGCUGAUUAUCCCUUCGCCCAUUGUGAUAUACCAGAUGACCAUUGUCCAGAGACGGAUCCAUGUUUGCAAAAUCCUUGCUUUAGUGGGGUUGCUUGUACAUUUACAAGCAUGGCACCUUUCUAUACCUGUGGCCCAUGUCCUGCAGGAUAUACUGGUGAUGGAGAAACUUGUGUUGGCUUGCAGUGCCCUGUUGGGUAUGCUGGUGUUGGUAGCGACUGUGCCCCCGACUCUGACCUUGAUGGCUACCCAGACACUGAACUAGGAUGUGCAAGCAAAUACUGCCGUAAGGAUAACUGCAUCAAUAGGCCAAAUUCUGGGCAAGAAGAUGCUGAUGGUGAUGGACUUGGUGAUGCCUGUGAUUCUGAUGCUGAUGGAGAUGGAUUCAACACUAAUUCGGAUAACUGUCCCCUGAUUGCCAACCCUUCGCAACAAGAUGCAGACUCGGAUGGAAAAGGCGAUGUUUGUGACAAUUGCCCUGCAGUGUCAAACCCAAGCCAAAGGGAUGUUGAUGGGGAUCAAAUGGGCGACGCAUGCGAUGACGAUAUCGACAAUGAUGGAUCCCUGAAUGCAGCAGACAACUGUCCCCUGACUGCUAAUGGCAAUCAGGCAGAUGCUGAUGGUGAUGGCCUUGGAGAUGUUUGUGACAACUGUCCCCUUAAUACUAAUCCUGGACAGGAAGAUAAAGAUCAAGACCUUCUAGGUGAUGCUUGUGAUAGCAAUACCGACUUGGAUGGUGAUGGUGUGGAUGACAGUGUGGACAACUGCCCAUCUGUAGCCAACAGUAACCAGCUGGAUGUAGAUGGUGAUGGUGAUGGUGAUGCCUGUGAUGCAGACAGUGAUAACGAUGGUGUUGAUGACACUACAGACAACUGUGUAAUGAUUCCAAAUCCGAGCCAGGUGGACGGUAAUGGGGAUGGCCGUGGUGAUGCUUGCACACCCGACUUUGAUGGUGACCAAAAAAAUGAUAUGGAUGACAAUUGCAUAAAAAAUCCCAAUGUACAUGCUACCGACUUCAGGCAACUCCAAAUGGUAGCCCUAGACCCACAGAGUGCAAGUGUCCCUCCAGUAUGGGUCGUCUACGACGAUGGUGCAGAGAUUCACCAGACUGUGAAUUCUGAUCCAGCUCUAGCAGUGGGUGACCAUGUAAUGAUUGAUGUCGACUUUGAGGGCACUUUCUUUGUUGAAGAUACAAGUGAUGAUGACUUUGUUGGCUUUGUAUUUGGAUACCAAAGCAAUGCCAAUUCUACGUUGUGGCAUGGAAAAGGGACCACAGAACUGGUUUAACCAGGCUGAGAGGGGUGUUACCUUAAAGCUGGUAGACUCUGCUACAGGCCCUGGCACAGCACUUAGGGAUGCCCUGUGGCUCACUGGUUCCACACCCAAUCAGGCAACACUGCUUUGGCAUGAUGGCAGCAUUGGAUGGACCCCAAAUGUGGCAUACCGCUGGCAACUUCACCACCGUCCUAAUAUUGGCACAAUUAGGUUCUAUUUGUACCAGGGUACUAAUCUGGUCAUGGACUCUGGAAACAUUUAUAAUGAUGCCCUGAAAGGAGGAAGAUUGGGACUCUACUGUUUCUCUCAAGAAGAGAUUAUUUGGUCUAAUGUCAAG